rnacentral:lncRNA from 1 species
CACGCAGGAAGCAAUCCUGCACGGGUCCUGGUGUAAGGCGGCAGCUUCCCGGCCACGCUGCCUUCUCCGGGGCCUCGAUUUACCGGCCACGCCGGAGAGUCCGCUGAGCCCAAGACUGACAGGUCCCGCCCGGGGCCGUCACUGGGCCCUCGUCCCAUCCUCUUCCAGGGGCUCGCCAGCCUACAAAAGCCCCACCGGCCCCCUGUCGCACCCCCCAAGCGGAGACUGGGCUUCCUGUCUUUUUGCCAUGCACUUGUUGCAGAAGCAGCCAAGGCCCCGGCUCCGGAGGAUGCAGAAGGAGGAAGGCACCAGAGUAGCCCGGCCCUGAACGCACCACCCUCACCUCCUGCAACAGGUAUCGAACUCGGGACCUUGCACUUGGGAGACAGGCACCGGAACCACUGAGCUAAAUCCCUGGCCCUCUCAGGCCUCUUUUAUAAGGACAUUAACCCUGCCUCUUCAUUACCACCUGAAGGCCCCAUCCUGGUAGCAUGGCCUUCCGGGUUAGAAUUUCAGUGUGUA